UACGAAGGGGCUAGGCGUUGCUCGGAAUCACUGGGCGUAAAGCGCACGUAGGCGGAUUGUUAAGUCAGGGGUGAAAUCCUGGAGCUCAACUCCAGAACUGCCUUUGAUACUGACGGUCUUGAGUCCGGGAGAGGUGAGUGGAACUCCGAGUGUAGAGGUGAAAUUCGUAGAUAUUAGGAAGAACACCAGUGGCGAAGGCGGCUCACUGGCCCGGUACUGACGCUGAGGCGCGAAAGCGUGGGGAGCAAACAGGG
rnacentral:rRNA from 1 species